AGUUUUGUAUUUCAUCAAGAAGGUGCUGAUUCACAAAGAUUUUAAAUUUAAGAAAAUCUGAGCAUCAUUCCAAAUAACUGUUAACAUGUUUGUCAACUAAACAUGUUUUGUAAACGUAAUAAACUUUAUAAAAAUAUUUUUUAUUUUGUAUUAAUAAUCAAGUAUAAAGAACAAUGCAUAGUGUGAAAAUGCGGAUUAUAAAAAAGUAUAUUAAAGAAAAGGACUACAUUUCCCAGAAUGCACCUGCACCCACUCAUCUGACUGCCCCCACCCUUCAGGUGCGACUGCUCAACCUAUGGGCUUGACGGAAAAUUCAAAUCGCGAACCGUUACUGCCUGGACUACUCCGUCUCUUGUUUGUUUGUUUGCUCAUUAACAGUAAGAGGUCAUGUACACUGUGGUCAACUUUGUGGACGAUGAAGAGGUUUCUGGGUAAAGAUGAUAGAAAUAUAAUGAAGUAACAGUGAAAGCUAAAACAUCAGACUGAUCCAGACACUGAAGAAAUUGAUGUCACUGCAAUCUGGCCAAAAUGAUACAACUAUAUUGAAGUAGCCUACUGUAAUGAAGAACAACACAGAGACUCUUGAGGACAUCAACACAGAAAAUGAA